rnacentral:rRNA from 1 species
AUGGGCAAAACAUCUGCUUCUGGUGUUGUUCAGGAGAAUGAAAAAGUUGGGAAUGGUUCACCCUCUUCUCCUACCAAGGGGAAAAGGGGAAGGAAAGGGUCCCAGAUUAUAUCAAAUAAAAAGUAUCCCCUGAGAUCUGCACAUAGUAGUGCCAGGGUGCUUCGGUCUACUUCAAAAGACAAGAGUAAGACGCCUAAUGAGCCAGUAAGUCCAUUGAGAUCCGCUCAUAGUAGUCCCAGGGUGCUUCGAUCUACCCCUAAAAACAAGAGCAAGACACCUAAAAAGCAAGUAAAUUCAUUGAGGUCCGCACAUAGUAGUGCCAGGGUGCUUAGCUCUACCUUGAAGAAAAAGGUACCUAAUGAGCCGGUAAACAACAGUACUGCUGCUCAACCAGCUGCCAGGAAAAGGAAAAGAGGCAGGCCCUCAAAUGCAGCGAGUCCCAAGAAUGAGUGCAUCAAAAUUCGCCAACGAGUUAGAUACAUUUUGAAUCGAAUGAACUACGAACAAAGUUUCAUUCAAGCCUAUGCUGGUGAAGGUUGGAAAGGUCAAAGUUUGGAAAAAAUAAGACCUGAGAAAGAGCUUGAGCGAGCCAAGGCAGAAAUCUUGCGAUGCAAGUUAAGAAUUCGGGAAGCUUUUCGUAAUAUGGAUUCUCUUCUAUUGGAGGGGAAGCUUGACGAAUCUUUGUUUGAUUCUGAGGGAGAAAUAUCUAGUGAAGAUAUUUUCUGUGCCAUUUGUGCUUCAAAGCAUGUUACGCUAAAAAAUGAUAUCAUUCUUUGCGAUGGAGUGUGUGAUAGAGGAUUCCACCAGAAAUGUUUGAAUCCUCCUUUGCUGGCAGAAGAUAUUCCUCAGGGGGAUGAAGGAUGGCUUUGCCCUGCGUGCGAUUGCAAGCUAGAUUGUAUAGAUUUACUAAAUGAACUCCAAGGGAGCACACUUGCUAUUCAUGACUCAUGGGAGAAAGUUUUCCCUGAGUCAACUUCGAAUGGCUUAAACCAAAUUGGUGCAUCUGAUCUUCCAUCCGAUGAUUCAGAGGAGGAUUAUGACCCUACUUUAGCUGAAGGGGACACAGUAGAUGAAGACAAAUCAUCUGCAGAGGAUGGGGAUGAAGGAUCAGAUUCUGAUGACCUGGAUUUUAUAACAUCAUCCGAUGAGUCUGAACCUUCAAAGAAGAAAAAGUCUGAAUCAAAGAACAAAAAUACCGUCAAUGACCUUGCGUUGCCUUCGGAUGACUCAGAGGAUGAUGACUUUGAUCCAGAAGGUCCAAAUUCCAGUGAAGACCAGAAGACCAAAACAAACUCAGACGAGUCGGACUUCACAUCUGAUUCUGAUGAUUUCUGUGCCGAGAUUUCUAAAUCUUCUGGCAAGGACAAAGUUUCGGCACCUUCAUUCUCAGACCAAACUAAUGGAGUGGACAUUAUGGAGGCAGAGCUAGAGCAAGACUCUGUGCUACCAGCUUCAAACAGGAGACAAGUUGGAACUUUGGAUUACAAAAAGCUUUAUGAUGAGGCUUAUGGAAAAGAAACCACUGAUUCAAGCGAUGAAAAAGAGUGGUCUGGACAUAGCCCAAAUGGAAAUCCAGAAGACAGUGAUACAGAUUCAUUUGCUGGACCACUUAAGCCGGCAAAAACCAGAAGAGCACGAGGUGGGCGCCAGAACAAUGAGCGUACUCCACAGAGUGAACGGCACAGUGGUUCAGUAAGUGAACAGCAUCCUGAAGUGCUUUCCAACGGCACCAGUAGCACGGCCAGGAAAAAAGGUUAUGGUCCUAUUGUUAAUCAGAAGCUUAAGGCAUAUUUCGAAAAAGAACCUUACCCUAGUCGCCCAGCAAAAGAAAGUCUGGGACAAGAGCUUGGCCUGACAUUCCAUCAGAUCACUAGAUGGUUUUCUAGUACUCGUUAUUACUCAAGAGUUACUGCUACCAAGAAAGGGAAGCGUUCAGAAAACUAUACUGCUGAGAACAACGAUGGCAUUGCUGCGGAUAGCAUACAACAGAGAGAACCCAAUGGCAGUGUAUUGGGCAAACCAAAUGUAGAUAGAAACGGUAUUAUUUCGGAGGAAAGGAUGGCGCAAAAAAAUCUUGAUGAAGGUGAGAAAGAAGAUACUCCAUUCAGACAACGUAUCAGCUGUGAGCAGACACUGGAUGGGACUCCUGCUAACAAACACAACACUGCCAACUCAAGAGAAGUUGACCCACCAAUUGGUGCGCCUGGAGGAAACCAGCAAAGUGACACCUCGAGGAAUGCAGAAGAUACCCCACUCGGACAAGAUAUUGGCUGUGAGCAGACCGUGGCUGCUAUCAACCAAAACUGCACUAUCGGCUCGAGCAAUGUCGGGUCACCGAAAGGUGUGCCUGGAGGAAACAAGCGCCUUAAUAACUCUCCGAGUGUUGGAAGCCCAAGACGUGGGUCUGCCGAGAAGAACAUUCCUGGGCUAGAACAUGUUGAUGAGGCAAGGAGGAAGGCUAUACUGCGGGAGCUGAGGAAGAUGAAGGCCGCAGGCAAGUGA